GAUAGCUCAGUCGGUAGAGCAGAGGACUGAAAAUCCUCGUGUCGCUGGUUCGAUUCCUG
rnacentral:tRNA from 1 species